rnacentral:lncRNA from 1 species
GAAACGGGGUUUCACCGUGUUAGCCAGGAUGGUCUCCAUCUCCUGACCUCGUGAUUCGUCCGCCUCAGCCUCCCAAAGUGCUGGGAUUACAGGCUCGAGCCACUGAGCCCGGCCAUUAGCUGACUUUUUAAUUCUAGCUGUUCUGAUCUAGUACCAAGUCUUGAGAACAAUGAGAUAGCCUCAUGAAGAGGUCCAUGUAA